CUCCGCUUCCGCUCUUGCCCACACUACGUCCAGGUCUCCAGUCCCUCUCAGAGUGAGAGUCUGGGAUAGAGGCCUGGAAAUUGGGCGGCUUCGUUUUUGGCCUUCUGGCUUCGUUUUUGCGGCCUUCUGGCCGUGGCUUGAUAUUGUUUUGAAUGUUAAUUUUUGCCUAGUUUAAUUAUAAUAAAUUAUUGAUUAUUUUCACAUUAAUCCACCGUUGUCUGCCGUGUUUUGCCCUUGCUUUAUUUAGCUUUGUUAUAGUUCCCUGACCCUAGCAGGGGGCAUAACACUGUGUGUGUGUGUGUGUGUGUGAGGGAGAGAGAGA